UACAGUACAGGAAUCAUGGUGUGGGAGUCUGCAGCUGAGGUUGUGUAGAUUUUCGAAGCUGUAGGAGAGCCAGCUACUGUAAGAAAUAGUAAAGAUAAGUUAGCACUGUUGUCUGUAACGUUGAACUAUUGAAAGGCUGUAAAUUUUCUGAUUUCUGGUGCUGUGGAAAUGAGUGGUGAAAUGAGACAGAAUUGGAAUUUCUUCCAGUCUGAAUGACAAAAUUAUGAAGUAGCUACAGAAUUAAACAAAGGACUUGGACAAGCAAGAUUAGCAAUUCUGUUAAUCAGGGCUGGGGGAAACAGUGCUACCAGCUGUACUGAACCCUAGUUCUCACUGAUGAGCAGAAAAGCCAAACUGGAGAUAUUUUGAAGGUCUUGAAGUGGCAGAAUGUCGGAGUGGAGCAGAGCAGGCUGGAAGCCCAGGCAACAUGGAAACAGUUGUUGGAGAGGAGACUAGUACAGGCAGUCAAUGGCUUGCAAGCCCGGCUAGACCAUGUUUGGAAACUCCCUGCUCUGAACUACUGCAAUACACAAUCUUCGCAAAGCCAUCAGGGAUGCCAAGGGACAAUACCAAAUUAAACUGGAGUCCCAGACUAACCACACAAACUCAUGUCAACUGUCAACUUUACUCGAUAUAAUAGACUACAAAGCAAAGUCGAGGAGAAUUGCUGACAACAAUGCACCCUUCCCUGACGAGCUCAAUGCAUUCUCUGCUCGUUUUGAACUGAAGGUCAGUGAAACAAAAUCACCUGCCCCGACAGCUUUGGGAGCACCUGUACCCGCAGUAACUGCCACAGACGUUAGAUCGGCUUUCUUGAGGGUGAACCCAUGGAAAGUGAAUGGCCCGAAUGGAGUCCCCAGCCAUGCACUCAGAUCCUGCAGGGACUAACUGGUGGGUGCAUUCACUAAAAUCUUUAACCUCUCUUUACUACUAUGUGAGGUUCCCACCUGCUUCAAGAAGACCAGUGCCAAAGGAAAUCAGGCAGUAUGCCUAAUGACUACUGCCGGGUGGCUCUGACAUCCAUCGUUAUGAAAUGCUUCAAGAGGUUAUCAAUGGCUCAAUUCAAAUCCAGCCUCCCAGAUUUCUUGAUCCACUCCAAUUCGCCUACCGUUGCAAUAGGUCCACGGCAGGAUGCCAUCUCAAUGGCUCAACACUCAUUCCUGGAGCAUCUUGAUAACAAGGACAUCUACAUCAGAAUCCUAUUUAUUGACUUUAGCUCUGCCUUAACCACCAUAAUUCCAAUCAAACUCAUCUCCAAACUCCUUGACCUAGGACUCUGAUCCCCAUUUUGCAAUUGGAUCCUUGAUGUCCUGACCUAUAGAUUACAAUCAGCAAGAAUAGGCGACAGCACCUCCUCCACAAUAAUCCUCAGCACCAAUGCCCCUCAAGGCUGCAUACUCAGCCCCUCACUAUAGUCAUUAUACACUCACGACUGUGUGGCAAAAUCAGCUCUGACUCCAUUUACAAAUUUGCUGAUGACACCACCGUGGUGGAUCGGAUUUCAAACAACAAUGAGUCAGUGUACAGGAAGGAGAUAGACAGCUUAGUGACAUGUUGUAAAGGCAACAAUCUCUCUCUCAAUGUCAGCAAAAUGAAGGAGCCGGUCAUUGACUUCAGUAAGUGCAGUGGAAGACACGCCCAUGACUGUAUCAAUGGUGCUGAGGUGGAGAAGGUUGAGAGUGUCAGGUUCCUAGGAGUAAAUAUCACCAACAAUCUGUCCUGGUUCAUCCACGUUGAUGCUACGGUCAAAAAAGCACACCAAUGCCCCUACUUCCUCAGAAGGCGAAGGAAAUUCGAUAUGUCCACAAGGACUCUUACCAAUGUUUUUAGAUGCACAUUAGAAAGCAUCCUAUCUGGAUGCAUCACAGCUUGGUAUGGCAACUGCUCUACCCAAGACUGCAAGAAAUUACAGAGAGUUGCGAAUGCAGCUCAGUCCAUCGCGAAAACCUAUCUUCCUUCCAUUGACUCUGUCUACACUUUCCGCUGCCUCGGGAAAGCAGCCAACAUAAUCAGAGAUCUGGGCAGAAGAUAUAAAAGUUUGAAAACACAUACAAACAGAUUCAAGAGCAGCUUCUUCCUUGCUUUUAUCAAACUUAUGAACGGACCUCUCAUAAAUUAGAGUUGAUCUUUCUCUGCACCUUCUCUGUAGCUGUAACACUAUAUUUUGCAUUCCGUUAUAUUACCCUGAAGUACCUAUGUAAGUUAUGAUUGGCUGGAUAGCACAUAAUGCAAUACUUUUCACUCUCUCUCGGUACACGUGACAAUAAUAAAUCAAAUCAAUUAACAUUCU